rnacentral:misc_RNA from 1 species
UACGGAGGGGGCGAGCGUUAAUCGGAUUUACUGGGCGUAAAGCGCGCGUAGGCGGCUGUCUAAGUCGGAUGUGAAAUCCCCGAGCUUAACUUGGGAAUUGCAUUCGAUACUGGGAAGCUAGAGUAUGGGAGAGGAUGGUAGAAUUCCAGGUGUAGCGGUGAAAUGCGUAGAGAUCUGGAGGAAUACCGAUGGCGAAGGCAGCCAGCUGGCCUAAUACUGACGCUGAGGUACGAAAGCAUGGGGAGCAAACAUA